rnacentral:ncRNA from 3 species
UGAUGAUGAAAAUGAUAUAAAUGUUGGUGGAACUAACACAGCUGUAGGUUGGAAGUACAAGCAGAUGUACAGAAAGAACGGUACAGUCUAAGUGGAGAAUCUGGCACAGUCAGCUUGGGAACAGUUAGUGAUAAUGCCAGCACCAAAGCAAUGGCAGGAUCCAUUCUGAAUUCCUACAUCCCAUUGGACAAAGAAGGCAACAGUAUGGAGGUGCAAGUAGAUAUUGAGUCAAAGCCAUCCAAAUUCAGGCACAACAGUGGAAGCAGUAGUGUGG